GCCGCCGCCGCCGCCGCUCGGUGCCGCCGCCAGCACCUCCUCCGCCCCUCCGCCCCUCCGCCUCCCGGGCUCUUCCCGCGGGGGCGGUGUUACCUCCUCGCCGCCCAGGCCCGGGCACCACGGGCGGCAGCCGCCCCUCCCGAGCGCGAUCUCCAGGCUGGAGUUCAACAAUUUUUAUGAAUUUCUAAUCCAACCUCAUCAUUCUAUGGGAAACAGAAGACCACCAAGAACAGCCAGCUGGUAUCUUGGCAGUAACCUCCUCCAUAUAUUUCCUUGGCCCUCAGCUUACAUCUGGCAAAAUGACUCUAUUGGUUCCAGGCUUCGCAUCCAUACAACAUGGUGUUGGAGGAACAGAGAUGUUUUCUCUUCCUGGUGUUUUCCCAGACAUUUCCCAGACAUUUCUUAGCUGGCAUUUCAAACAAGGGUCCUGAAAUUCACCCUGGUUGGGUCAUGUUCUCCCCUUCCCAUUCCCCAUCCCCACCCCCAACCGAAAAAUGAUGUAAGCAGGGGAAAUUGAAUGUACCAAUGUUUGUUUUUAAACAAGCCACAGCCCCCUCCCCAACCCCCCCAACUGAAGCUUGAAGUCGGAUCAGCUUUCCCUAAAGUACUUGAGCUUAUGGUAAAGCAUAUAUGUUAUCCAAGUUAAAGUCUGGAUGCUGUUAGUAAUGGGAAGGCAAGUAAUGAAUGUUAGCUAUGGCGCCAACAGACAGUGUCCACUCCAUUGUCUUUAAGGCCCAAUAAAAGACAACCUCUUUACCAAUGUCGGUUUAUUUAUUCAUUUAUUUAUUUAUUGAGAUGGAGUCUCACUCUGUCACCCAAGCUGGAGUGCAGUGGAAUGAUCUCAGCUCACUGCAAUUUCUGCCUCCCAGGUUCAAGCGAUCUCCUGCUUCAGCCUCCCAAGUAGCUGGGAUUACAGGCGCACACCACCAUGCCCGGCUAAUUUUUAUAUUUUUAGUAGAGAUAGGGUUUCACCAUGUUGGCCAAGCUGGUCUCGAACACCUGACCUCAAGUGAUCUGCCUGCCUCAGCCCCCAAAGGUGUGAGCCACUGCACCUGGCCACAAUGUCAGUUUCUAUAAAAACUGCCUUGACUUGCUUUAUUUGCUUGUUUUGUUUGUUUUUUAAUUUUUAUUAUUUUUUUUUAGAGACAGGGUCUCAAUCUGUUGCCCAGGCUUGAGUGCAGUGGUGCAAUCUGGUGCCCAGGCUUGACUGAAGUGUUGGACUCCCAGGCUCAAGCAGUCCUCCCACCUCAGCCUCCCAAGUAGCUGGGACUACAGGCAUGCACCACCCUGUCUGGCUAAUUUUUUAUUUUUAGUAGAGAUGAGGUCUCACUAUGUUGCCCAAGGUGGCCUCAAACUCCUGGCCUCAAGUACUCCUCUGGCCUCAGCCUCCCAAAGCUCUGGGAUUGCAGGUAUGAGCUGCCAUGCCCGGCCUACUGUAUAUUUUAUGCAUUUGAUAUAAGUCUUGCCUCCCUAAGUAUAUUACAAGUCCCUUGAGGUUAAAGACAUUAGAUUCCUACUCAGUGCUGAGCUGCAACAGAGAGUACUCAAUGAAGGAUAAAAUAAUUUUAGCAUGCAUUCAGCGAUAUAUAUUUAGAAAGUGGAACUAGGUGGUUGAAAAAAGUGUAUAGAUGGGUGGAAGGGAAUAUUACAGCUCUUAGAAUUGCCCUAAGGUGAGAGUAACUAAGUAAUGAAUCCCUGGGUUCACUCAAGCAACUUCACUCCCUAAAACAAGAGCCCACAGAAUCCCAUUUCUGCUUUCAGAAUGAGUUUGAGGCCAAUAUCAUUUCCUUUUUUUUUUUUCUUUUUCUUUCUUUCUUUCUUUUUUCCCUUUUUUUUUCUUUUUUUUUUUUUUUUUUUUGAGACGGAGUUUCACUCUUGUUGCCCAGGCUGGUUUGAUCUCGGCUCACUGCAACCUCUGCCCCUGGGUUCAAGCGAUUCUCCUGUCUCAACCUCCCAAGCUGGGAUUACAAGCAUGCGCUACUACACCUGCCUAAUUUUGUAUUUUUAGUAGAGAUGGGGUUUCUCCGUGUUGGUCCGGCUGGUCUCAAACUCCCGACCUCAGGUGAUCUGCCCACCUCGGCCCAGCCUCCAAUAUGAUUUUCUAAUAGCUGUGUUUGAUGAUUAUAUUUAUUCCUCCAUCAGUAGCUUUUUUAGCCUUGAAAAUAUCUAUUUAAGUUUCUUAUUUCCUUUGGAUCUAUCAAAGUGUUUUUCCCCAAGUGGCACCUGGGAAAACAUAUUCUAUUCAUUUCUUUUGUAACUGUUCCCUUGACCUCUUUAUUGCUUCCCUAUUACAACCCAAGAUGCUCUUGUAAACCUGACUUAAUAUUGGCAGUCUUCAUCCCUUGCAAAUGGAAGUGAUGACAGACCCAAUACUUUGUGUAAAAAUAUUUUGCUAUUUCUAUACAAAAUAUUUUAUUAAUGGAAACCACAUGUUAUGUAUUUUACAAAUGUUAUGACUUGAAAUUUAUGUUAUGACUUGAAAUUGGGGAAUCUGAUAUGUCUCUAAUAACAAAGGCUUCACAGUACAACUGUUGUUUGUAGAUUUACAGAUGGCUGGCAUUUUAAUUUUUUAAUUUAAAUUUUUAAUUCAAAUAUGAUUGACCUGAAAUAUUAACAAAAAUUAUCCUUGAAUUGUUGCA